UUGAAAGAAACCGCCAUGACUCAGGAGAAGCAGCGAUGGCGGACACCCAGUGGCAACGGUGGUUUUCUACAAAUUGAGGACAAGCUCCUCCAUAUCCACAACUUCCACUCACUUGAAGUCCCAUCAUUAGCUCGGCCUGCUGGAGCUCCCACACCAGCCCACAGAAACCACCGUAAGUGUCGCGGGUUGGAGAAGGUCCCGGCACUGGUCAACCUCAGAAGGGAGAAGGGGCAGAAGAAGAGGAGCAGUCUGAGCUACAGCAGCUAUUAUGAACCGAACAAUGGAGGGAGACCAGUUAUUCCAAAGCUGCAUUUAAUGGCUGCUCACCUUGCACAGCUAUCUCUCUUCAAAAUCAACUACAACGCAACAUGCAUUUUCUGAAGAAUUCAAGAGGCAGGCAGAUCAACGCUAUUAAACAGCAUCAUUUUGAAGUCUAGUGGCAGACAUUAAGAAUCCUGGACCAUCUGUACUGUUAUCCUGUUUCUUAGAGUUCUUGGCCAGUUGCACUUUUAACUAUAUAUUUAAAAAUGCAGAUUGAUGGUUAGAAACGAUCUCAAAGAAUUUUUGUUCAUAAAAUCUUCUUUUUGAGAAACAUGUUCUCAUAUGUCCUGUGUACUCAAUAUAGAUAAGUUCUCCCAAAAAUAGCUUCAAAACUAGCUCAAGUAAAC
rnacentral:lncRNA from 1 species